rnacentral:rRNA from 1 species
UACGUAGGUGACCAGCGUUGUCCGGAUUUACUGGGCGUAAAGAGCGCGCAGGCGGUCGUUCAAGUCGAGUGUGAAAGCCCCCGGCUCAACUGGGGAGGGUCAUUCGAUACUGAUCGACUGGAAGGCAGGAGAGGGAAGCGGAAUUCCCGGUGUAGUGGUGAAAUGCGUAGAUAUCGGGAGGAACACCAGUGGCGAAGGCGGCUUCCUGGCCUGUUCUUGACGCUGAGGCGCGAAAGCUAGGGGAGCAGACGGG